UGCCCCCCCCAAAAAAACAAUUUCUAUUACAGAUUUAAUCAGUGGAAUGAAAAAUCAAGUUAUUCUGCUGUGCAACCACUAGUAGCUAAAAAACUGGCUCACUGCUCUGUGUGCUGCCAUCCAGGCUCACCUAAGGAUCAUGAAUGUAAUGGAUGCAAAUUAUGUAAAAGUGAUAGAUACUGUGAACCGCAUGACUAUGAAUACUCCUGUCCUUGUGAAUGGCACCAGACAGAACAUGAUAGGCAACUAAAUGGAGUGGAGAACAAUAUUAAGAGAGAUUUACCCUUGAAAAAAUGGAAUGGCCCAAUCCCUAUGCAUGUGAGAAAUUGUUGGUACUUUUGACCCGCUAUGACAUGAAAGAAAGAAAACUUGGUAGAAGGAACUCUAAACAAUUACAGCCAAUACGAAUUGUUAAACCCCGAAUCAGAAAUGGAGUUCAUUGUUUUCAAGUAGAAUGGGAAAAGCCUGAACAUUAUGCUUUAGAAGAACAACAACAUGGAGAAUUGCUUCUACUUACAAUCGAAGAAGAAUCAUUGUUUACAGCAGCCUAUCCUGAGAUUGUAGCUGACUACCAAAAACAAAAAUUAGAAAUUAAAGGGAAGAAACCAAAAAAA
rnacentral:lncRNA from 1 species